rnacentral:rRNA from 1 species
GACGAACGCUGGCGGCGUUCUUAACACAUGCAAGUCGAACGGAAAGGCCCUGCUUUUGUGGGGUGCUCGAGUGGCGAACGGGUGAGUAACACGUGAGUAACCUGCCCUUGACUUUGGGAUAACUUCAGGAAACUGGGGCUAAUACCGGAUAGGAGAUCCUGCUGCAUGGGGGGGGUGGGAAAGUGUCGGCGGUUGGGGAUGGACUCGCGGCUUAUCAGCUUGUUGGUGGGGUAGUGGCUUACCAAGGCUUUGACGGGUAGCCGGCCUGGGAGGGUGACCGGCCACAUUGGGACUGAGAGACGGCCCAGACUCCUACGGGAGGCAGCAGUGGGGAAUAUUGCACAAUGGGCGGAAGCCUGAUGCAGCAACGCCGCGUGCGGGAUGACGGCCUUCGGGUUGUAAACCGCUUUCGCCUGUGACGAAGCGUGAGUGACGGUAAUGGGUAAAGAAGCACCGGCUAACUACGU